CAACAGAAACAGGGGUGCUGCGCGCGGCGCGGCUGAGAAAAACCCUUUGCACCCGAUACAGUUAAUCCUGUCGUGGGGAGUUUCAGCAUCAUCGAA
rnacentral:ncRNA from 2 species